UGGGGAAUAUUGCACAAUGGGCGAAAGCCUGAUGCAGCAACGCCGCGUGAGUGAUGAAGGUCUUCGGAUUGUAAAGCUCUGUCUUUUGGGACGAUAAUGACGGUACCAAAGGAGGAAGCCACGGCUAACUACGUGCCAGCAGCCGCGGUAAUACGUAGGUGGCGAGCGUUGUCCGGAUUUACUGGGCGUAAAGGGUGCGUAGGCGGAUGUUUAAGUGAGAUGUGAAAUACCCGGGCUUAACUUGGGUGCUGCAUUUCAAACUGGAUAUCUAGAGUGCAGGAGAGGAGAAUGGAAUUCCUAGUGUAGCGGUGAAAUGCGUAGAGAUUAGGAAGAACACCAGUGGCGAAGGCGAUUCUCUGGACUGUAACUGACGCUGAGGCACGAAAGCGUGGGUAGCAAACAGGAUUAGAUACCCUGGUAGUCCACGCCGUAAACGAUGAGUA
rnacentral:rRNA from 1 species